rnacentral:rRNA from 1 species
GGGUAGAGUAAUGCGUGACCAACCUGCCCCAUGCUCCAGAAUAGCUCUUGGAAACGGGUGGUAAUGCUGGAUGCUCCAACUUGACGCAUGUCUUGUUGGGAAAGUGUUUAGUGGCAUGGGAUGGGGUCGCGUCCUAUCAGCUUGUAGGCGGGGUAAUGGCCCACCUAGGCUUCGACGGGUAGCAGGCCUGAGAGGGCGGACGGCCACAUUGGGACUGAGAUACGGCCCAGACUCCUACGGGAGGCAGCAGGA